AGUGAACGCUGGCGGUAGGCCUAACACAUGCAAGCCGAACGGCAGCACAGUAAGAGCUUGCUCUUACGGGUGGCGAGUGGCGGAUGGGUGAGGAAUACAUCGGAAUCUACUUAUUCGUGGGGGAUAACGUAGGGAAACUUACGCUAAUACCGCACACGACCUACGGGUGAAAGCAGGGGAUCUUUGGACCUUGCGCGAUUGAAUGAGCCGAUGUCGGAUUAGCUAGUGGGCGGGGGAAAGGCCCACCAAGGCGACGAUCCGUAGCUGGUCUGAAAGGAUGAUCAGCCCCACUAGCACAGAAGCACCGUCCGGACUGCUACGGGAGGACGCAGUGUGGAGUAUUGCACUAUGGGCUCAAGCCUGAUCCAGCCAUACCGCGUGAGUGACGAAGGCCUUCGGGUUGUAAAGCCCUUUUGUUUGGAUAGAAGAGCAACAGCUUGAUACCCCGCUGUUCUGACGGUACCCAAAGGAUGAGCGCCGGCUAACUUCGUG
rnacentral:rRNA from 1 species